CACAGAAACACAUCCCCACUCUUUUCUACUCCUAAUGUCUCAGUUGAUAGUCUCCGUUCCGGGUUUAUUUUCAUCCCAACUACCAUGGUUUAUUUUGAUACCUGCUCCCACCUAUCGCUGAGCCGCGUAGAACCAAAAAAACCUCCUGUCGAGUCCCCCACCCGCCCCACGCACUCCAGGGCCUAACCUCCCGUCGCACCAGACAAACGAAUGAAAAAGGUCUACGAAAAUAAACCAGUGAAAACAAACCAGCGAAAAAAAUCCUAGACCAAUCGCCCGCACGUACGAGAAACACUCGCACGCACGACUCUCUGCCCUUGUUCGCCCGCCGCCUCCCUUCGUCCCUUCGCCGCCACCCCUCGUUCUAUUCGCGACGCGAACGCCGCCGCCUGGCAGAUCCCAGGCGCUAGCCGCGGAUCCCUUUGCCGGCUCCGAGGGGUCGUGGAGGCGCCGCCGCCGAGGUCCUAAAGGAGGCGCCACCGUCGAGGUCCUAAAGGAGGCGCCGCCGCCAUCGUUGUGGACCUCCGGGUGGCCAUCGGGACACCUCUGCUGAGGUACGCCUUCGCCUUCGCACGCUGCCGACCUCCCAGAGGAGACGCCGCCGCCAUCGACCUCUUCGCCCCCAUGCGAUCGGCUUCCUCCCUCAGGUUCUUGUACGGAAUAUACCACCAGACCCCGAUGAAUCAGUUAGCAAGCUUGUGGAACAUUUCUUCCUUGUCAAUCAUCCUGAUCAUUAUCUGAAACAUCAGGUGAUCACUAAAUUUUGGAACAUCUCCCAUUUGAAGAAUCAUCUGCAAAUUCAAAUGUAAGGAAGUGUGCAGUGCAAGCAAUUAUCAGGUGUUGGCUGCCCAGGAAGAAGGAAAGGUCAGUCCAGACAUGACAUUUAACUCUAAUAAUGGAGGUACGUAGUGCCUACUGCUCCCUUGUCCCUUGCUACCGUCUGGGGAUGCUCGGCUCGCCGGCGACGGGGAUGCUCGGCUCGCAGUCCCUGCUCUCAUUUUCCUCCAGCCUCUGGUAACCCUCCUCCUCACCCGCCUCGCCGAAGCGGGAUUCACAGGGAGCAUCAGGUACAUCUUAUGUGGGGAUGAACCAUCAGCUAAAGGGAGUGAUAGGAAAAUAUUUUGUUGAAUGCAAUGGGAAGGCGAAAAACGACACGCCUUGGCGAAGCAACUCUAAGAUUCGGUAAGGCUAAUCAAGUCUGCAAUCAAAUCCAAGAGCAGGGGCAUAGAAAAACGUUAAAAUACUUUUUAGCUAUUGAUUGAAGUGACUGGUAAUUAGUAGCAGGAGCAACAGUUGUAGUAAGAACCUAUCUAGGCAUAUUUUCUCUCUUUCCUAUCACAUGGCACAUUGAAUAACUUUAUAGUACAAAUACAUUCACAUAUGUUAUUUUAAAUUAUCAUGUCAUGGAGGUUCUCGUUAUUUCGAAUCUUUGGUUGGAACCUUCAUUUUGUGUUAUUAAAUGCACAUGGUAUUCAGUUAUCUCCAUUAUGGUGAGAAGACUUUGAUCUUGAUAUAUCAGAUUUAAGCCUCUUACACCAUAGGAGGUCCUCCUUUUGGUGAUAUUCACUCAUAUGUCAUUUUAAAUUAUCAUGUCAUGGAGGUGCUGGGUAUUUUGAAUCUUUGGUUGGAACCUUCAUUUUGCGUUAAAUUCACAUGGUAUUCAGUUAUCUCCAUUAUUGCCAGUAGCAACGCACAAGCACUUUCUAUUAAAUGCACAUGCUAUUUUCUUUUGUAUCAUGUCAUUUUGUGGUCAUUAACAAUCAGAUGGAUGAAACUGAUCUUGUUUUGUGCAUCAUGGAUUUUCCUCAACUGAAUGAGUAGAAACAUAAGUGUGUAAUGUAGUAGCCCCUCUAUUCCAUUGUUAUAAAUAUUAUAGUUUUUCAAUCUGCUGACCUGAUCGUAACAGCUGUUUAAAAGGAAGUGAUCACAUCACUAUUUAGAUUUUACUUUUUUUUUGUAUGCUUAAACAUAAGAUUAGUUUGUCCCCUUUCUUUUUACCCUUCAUGCUAACAUAAUAAAUACAUAUUUGAACUGAAUUGGUUGUAUUACAUAUGCCACGAAGGAUGUCGCCGCUUGAAGCUCGAUUUCCAUCAGCCCCUCUUUUAAUUCACUUGCAUUGUUUCAGCUUUGCAUUGUACUUCUUUGACGAAUUACCUCAUCCAAUCGGCUUUAAUUCGGAGCGUCAGUCUUACUAAUUAUCAUUGCCUUAACUUUCCAUAUGAACCUCUUACAGGAAACAAGAACUCCUAUUUGUCUGUAGUACUGCCCAUGAGACUCAACCUUGUUUUACCUUAAUUAUCAUGGUGUGCCUUUUUUUAUAAUAGCUCACCAUUUUGUUAGUGGCAAUAAAAUGCAUCUUUAGGCACACCUAUAGCGCACAUGUGAUGAUGUACAGAUGAAAGAAAGAUCUUAGAAGCUGAGAAGCCGAGAGCUGGAGGAACAAGGAGAAGCUAAAAGGACAGAAGAAGUCAGAGCAUGUGGAGCUGUUGGGCAAGCAGAGUUCUAUCUGGGUAUUUAGGUAGCUGAGGAUAAAAGGGAAAAGGAAAAUGUUGACGAUAUAGUUACUCAAUGCUGAGAAUGUUGCAUGCAUACUUUGUUGCCUAUAUAUCAUUGGCUUUGUAUUGAUCCAGGCAAGAACAAAUCAGACGGAACAAGUUUGCUACAGGUGGGUGUGCAUCAAGCUGCUUCGUUGCCGGCGGCGAGUAAUCUCACACAUGUUUAUGGCGCAUAUGUACCAGAAAAUUCAAAUGGUUCUGAUCAUACGUGCGAGGGGAAUCAGGUAGGGCUUGAUGCGCCUUUCAUACGAAAUGUUGAUGAGAAUUACCCAAGUAGUCCAGAUGCAUGUCAGGUUGUUCGCUUGGUCUGCGCCAAUGAGCAUCUCCUACAAGUCAUCAUCUCUCUCUCUUUGUCGGCUCCAUGUUGUAGCCUGCUAGGAGUCCUACCUUGCCAUGGAGCAUGUCCUUUGUCAUGGGUCGUACUGAGGACGCAGUGACAUGCAAGGCGAGGGAAAUUGAAGCCAAAACAUGCAGGACGGCCAGGAGUGUGCCAUUUUUUCUAUGACAGGGGGUGGUUCUUCAAUCUUCAGGGAAUCAAGCGGUAGCAUCAGAUGCUGACAUGCAUGGAAGGUAGCAGUAUAUGUAUUUGUAGCAAAUCAUCAUCGCCCAUAAAUAAAUCAUCUUUUGCCCGCUUCCUCUGUCCGGUUGUCAACUCAAAUUGCUUUGGUUCACAAGUUCGUUUCAUUGUACAUCUAGGUACACUAGAACUGAGAGACUACUUUCCUUGAAAGGCUCAUGCAAGUAAACUGACAAUAGUAUUCAUCCAAGAUGCAGUUGUAUAUGUAUCUUCAUAGAGAUGUAGAUGCAUAGAUAGUUAAAUAGUGCACAUGUUCAUUGACAGGGAUGUAGAUGUAGUAUACAACCGAGGUUACAUUGACAAGUUGGUCCAUGAUGCUCCCAGGAAAAAGAAAAUAUGAUAUAUUGUUUCACACUAUCAUCCAUAGUGAAAAACUUGUAUUUAAUAUUUCUUUGUUUUGCAAUGCUGAAUAUUUUGGGAACACACAGUAAGAUGUAAUCUACGGAUUCACCAAAUCAGCUUGAACAUUGUUAUCAUGCUUCGUAUGAUUUGGUAAUGAUUUCAGAACAUGGAAUGGGGCAAAUAAAGUUGAAACCAUGUACUGUUCCUCACAAAAAAACAGUUACUGUCGAGAGGUUUCAUACUGACAUUAUUUCUUACCAACUAAUGGUGCAUUACUCCUGCCAUGAUAACAGCAGCUAACUACUCCAUGAUUACAGCAUUAAACAUUGAUAAGAGUACAAGCAUUGGAGGAGUACUCACCACAUUCGAGGAAGUCGUCAUCAUGGUGGUGGUGGUCGAGGAAGUCGUAGGUGCUGGUGGCAUCAUCACGGAGCAGGCACCAUCUUCUCCUCGACUUAAAAUGUGGCGUCCGGGACUUUGAUUGCAUUGAACAAUGGGUGUGGCCAUGAAGACUUCACUGCAUCAAACAUCUCCUGAAGCUCCAAGUUGAUAUCCCAUUGAAUAUUGAUGGAGUUCCAAUAGAUCGCACUGAAGGUGCACUCAAAAAAUGGGUGUUUGUUCGUUUCCAGUGGUGUGGUGUUGCACAAAAGACAGGAGUGACUCCAAUAUCAAAAUGUCUCUGGUGGAGCAUGUCCCUUAUGUUGACUCUGUCCAUUAACAUCAGCCAGGUGAACACUUUAAGUUUCAUGAUACACUUUGUCUUCCAGAUCAUUGUGAUGUAUGCGGGUGGCUGCAGUUCUCUGAAGAAGAAGUUGGUGAAUUUCUUGGGCCGAAACUGAACAUCUCCCCAACAAGUAAUCCAUUCAUCAGCCAUCAUUGGUUCCAAGUAGAGAGAUCAUUCAUAUGAUUCUGCAGAUAUGUUAAUUCAUGUAGCGCCUCGAUUGAUAGAGUGAGGUAAAAGUUUUUAGAAGCCUGUGGUUUGUCUUGGAAUUGCACUGUAGAAAUAUCCUCCUCCCUUGUGGAAGUGAACAUGUGUGGCAGCUUGUUGGAAAGGGGUUCGUCAUCGAUCGGAAUAUCUUUCCAUAGAAGAAUUGUGUCGCCAGCUCUAGGAAUGCAAGUUGUAACCCCUCUGUAUAUGUCCAUCAACGAGAACACAUCGUUCUGUAUAUCUUUCCAUAAAAGAAUUGUGUGAAAAUUUCUUAA